rfam:Parcubacteria bacterium GW2011_GWA2_47_8 TY09_C0010, whole genome shotgun sequence.
AGCGGUACGUGAAACAUCGCGUCCUCUGAUGGAAACAUCAGAGUGGAAAUCGGCUUAUAACGGUGAAACCCAGAAAAGUUAACCCAAGUUCUGGGCAAUACCGUGGGAAGUCAUUUUGUUUUUACAAAAUUGACCCCGUAACGACUUGAUCGUUUAUACGAUCGGAUGGUGUACAGAAAUGGCAGUGAGUAUGUGCAUAAGCACAAACACCAUAAUACGCCGACGUCCAGAGUAGUGAUUAACAAACUCUGGAUGAAGAUAUAGUCUAUGCUUCUGGUAACAGAAGA